CGCGAGGUUUUCAACCCCACUCCAUUGAAUGGCAAAUACUGUACUCUACGUGGAUACUUUGAAAAAUACCUGAACAAGACACGCUACUAGACGAACCCAAUAUCACAGGUAGACGUGAUUUUGAAAAGUCGUUUACCAUCGCACAUUAGAGAAAAAUUAGUCACAACGCCAGAGGACGACACUGGCUAUUUUCUGUCAGUCCUUAACUCUAUCGACUUAAUCUAUGAGGAAAGAGCCAAUAGAGCAACAGAGAAUCAGCACAACAACAAAUAAAGGUUCUGUAAAUCAGUCAAUAAAACGUCAUCCCAAUACACAACAAAGAUGGUACGCACAACAAAGUUACAUGCCCGGAGGUAACGAGUACGGCAACCACACCAUGCAACUAACUGAAAUUACUCCAGAUAAUGAAUUACGUCACACUACGCCGUCGGAAAACACCAACCUGUCGUGGUUAAACCACAGGCAAUUGACCUCUCUAGGAGUGGGGGCGAAGCAAAACUACAAACCUGUUUUAUAAUAUUUGACAAAGUGACAUCAAGGAUGAUUUGUAUCAACACGAAUCAGAUGCAGUAGAUAAAAUCCGACAGAAACAUAAAAUGUUGGGCCUUCUUCAAUAUUCAUACUACAUAAUUACAGAAAAAGUGGAAUACAUACAGAAAAGCUUUCAUUGGUACGAGAUGAUACAUGCAAAUGGAGAAAAGAUCUUAACUUCAUAAAUGGCAGAUCAAAGCUACAAGGAAUUGUAUGCAAGAAAGUAUCGACCAAAUGGAUUACCUGAAGGAAAGAAAAAUUGCAGCUUGUUGAAGAUACAAGAUAUAAAUAGGUUUCACAUGUGUUUUAUGGCAUUAAACACAAAACCAGGCAAGGCGCCUUCCUCCAUAAGUAUUGUUCAACAGUUCUACCAAAAAGGGAGAGACUU